rnacentral:rRNA from 1 species
UACGAAGGGGGCUAGCGUUGCUCGGAAUUACUGGGCGUAAAGGGCGCGUAGGCGGACAGUUUAGUCAGAGGUGAAAGCCCAGGGCUCAACCUUGGAAUUGCCUUUGAUACUGGCUGUCUUGAGUUCGGGAGAGGCGAGUGGAAUGCCGAGUGUAGAGGUGAAAUUCGUAGAUAUUCGGCGGAACACCAGUGGCGAAGGCGACUCACUGGCCCGAUACUGACGCUGAGACGCGAAAGCGUGGGGAGCGAACAGG